rnacentral:rRNA from 1 species
AUUGAACGCUGGCGGCAUGCUUUACACAUGCAAGUCGAACGCGUGGCGCACGGGUGAGUAAUACAUCGGAACGUGUCCUAUCGUGGGGGAUAACUGAUCGAAAGAUCAGCUAAUACCGCAUACGAUUGGGGCGGCCGAUGCCCGAUGGGCGAGUUGGUGAGGUAAAGGCUCACCAAGGCGACGAUCGGUAGCUGGUCUGAGAGGACGACCAGCCACACUGGGAAUGAGACACGGCCCAGACUCCUACGGGAGGCAGCAGUGGGGAAUAUUGGACAAUGGGGGCAACCCUGAUCCAGCCAUGCCGCGUGCAGGAUGAAGGUCUUCGGAUUGUAAACUGCUUUUGGCAGGGAAGCGGUACCUGAAGAAGAAGCACCGGCUAACUACGUGCCAGCAGCCGCGGUAAUUC